rnacentral:rRNA from 1 species
UACAGAGGUCUCAAGCGUUGUUCGGAUUCAUUGGGCGUAAAGGGUGCGUAGGCGGCGCGGUAAGUCGGGUGUGAAAUCUCGGAGCUUAACUCCGAAACUGCAUUCGAUACUGCCGUGCUUGAGGACUGGAGAGGAGACUGGAAUUUACGGUGUAGCGGUGAAAUGCGUAGAUAUCGUAAGGAAGACCAGUGGCGAAGGCGGGUCUCUGGACAGUUACCGACGCUGAGGCACGAAGGCCAGGGGAGCAAACGGG